rnacentral:lncRNA from 1 species
AUGCGUACAAGAGAUCUAAUUUUCGAAGGAUUUGACUGCAGCUCUAAAGUACUCGGGAUCCCCACUGGUCUGUAUAGUAACCAUCCAACCCGGCUUUUCUUUUCACUUGAUAUAUUUGCAUGACCUCUUUUAUUAUCCCUGCAUUUGUUGUCAUUUAAUUGGAUACAACUUUAAGAUUGAACAGUAUCUCCACCUUAUUAUAAACAUGGUGGGAAAUGGAUGAACCAAUAGGUUAGGUUUUGUCCACGUAGAAGUGUGGAUUCCUAUGAUUCGAAGUUUCCAUCAAUGUCACUAUGUAACCUUUCAUUGCCUCUAUUCCCCUUUGAUUUUGAGCCUAACAUAACUUCGACUAAGUUUGUUUUAUAACCAUUUGUAUCCAUAGCAAAGAGAUUUAAUAAAAAAUAGUGAUACUCAAUUAUUCUAAUUUAUAUUCCUAGAUUAAGAAAUUAAGAAUUAUAAGUUCAAUCCACAUAUUUUUCAUGUGCUUUCAUAAAGGGAAAAUUGGUUUUAGGCAUUUUGUGCUACAAAAAAAAAAUUCUAUUUGCUCGACCAGGCAAUUAAAAAUGUCGUUAAAUCCUAUAUUUUUAUUAAUAGGAGCUUUAGGUAUAGUUUUUUUAUCUGACGAAUAAAUAACAAUAUUUUUUAUAUAAAAAUCAAUCCAGAUAAAAGAAAAUAUUCUAUUUUUUUCUAAUACUUUUUUAAAUUUUAAAUAAUUUAUUCAUCAUCUGCCAUUUUUUUACUAAUUCAAAAUGUACAAUUACAAGGUUUGUUAAAAAAUAGUGUUAAUCCAUAUAAAACUUCAGAGAUAACAAAUCUACUAACUAACAUGCAUAUGACAAAUCAGCUAAUAUAGCAAAAAAGAAUAUUCAUUACAAAAACAAAUAAAUGAAUGUUUCAGAUUCUUUGUGAAGUAAAAACUUCUUUUUCAACAAUAGUUCUGCACUGAAAAACACAAAAUAUGGUAAUCACAUUAAUCUACAAAUCUAUGAAAACAUAAAUGAUAAAAAUCAAGUAAUCUUUAUCUUAAAAAAAUCAUAACUAAUUUUCAGAUAACAUGAUUUAUUUAGUCUUCAAAUACAAUAAGAUGUACAAAAAUUAACUAAUAUACAUAUUUUUAAAUAAUAACAAUUUAUAUUAAAUAUUAAUUCUAACUAUUUAAAUUAUUUGUUAAUUUUCAUCCCGCCGACGGGCCGACCAAGUAUAUAUAUAUAUAAUUAUUGUACAUAUUCUUUGUACUGUAUCUUCCUUCAUCCCUUGCAAUCGAAUUGAAUCUUAGCAUUUAUGUAUUAAACCAUCUUAAUGAAUAUGUAUAGCAAAAGACAUGAACAUGUUAUGGUUAAUGUUAUAUUAGUUAUUUUGCUCGAGUCGGUCAGGACCCAAAGAUUAUCAUAGUGGUUGAUAAUUGAACAUGAAGAAGACCGUUUUAACACAAGCAAAAUGUAAGCAAUAACAACACGAAGAAAGUAAUCUCUAAAAAGACUAUUAACAAUUAUAUUUGUAGAUGCAUGCUGAAGGCAAAAGUAUGUAUUAUUAUUUUCUUCUCUUCCUUUGCUUUUUUUUCUCUUCGUCGUUGGAGUCGAGAACAAGUGGAAAGUUGCAGCCCUUAUAUAGCUAAGCACAUCAUAUAAGGUAGUGACAAAUGUCACACUCCUCCCUGGCCAUGUUUUAUUAUAAUGAUUAAGCUAAUUGCUCUCUCUAUAAUUUUCCCAGGUAACCACCAUCUCUAUUUUAUCUCUACUCCAAGAUGAGCACGUGGUAAUGACACAGCACAACUGAAUAUGAAUCACUCUUCUCCCUUUCUCUUUUAGCCAUGUAUCCCUUUUCUUUAAGGAUAAUUAAAUAAUCCAACUUGGUGACCAAAACUCUUUUCUCAUUGGUCACCUUACUCCUUAAAAGAUUACUUAAUUAUCCAAUUAAGCAACUGGCUUACUUUUAAUGCCUCGAUAGCUCCUCAACUUUAGCUUAAUAUUUAUGUCUUGAGAAAAAUUUAUUUUUGAAAAAUAAAUUACUAACUCGUAAUAAAUUCCCAAAAUAAAUUACUAGAAUUAUUUAUUUAGAAAUAAUUCUUUUCCAUGAAGAUGGGUAUUACAAAUAGGAUUGACACGUGAACGUAAACUUCUCAUAACCAUAAUUAACUUUUAAAUUGUUAAAUCAUUAUAUAACAUCGAAUUGACAUAGUUUCUUUGUAACCAAAUAGUAGACAUGAGAUUCUUCGGCCUACACGUUAGGUUUUUAUGCGACAAAUAAUUUUUUGACCUAAAAUAUUUUAAAAAUGAGAUCAGUUCAUUAGCAAACAAAUUAUGUAAUUAACAAAAACGUUUUUAAGAAAUUGUUUAAAAGCCAAAAAUAUUAAUUCGAUCAAUAAUAUAAAUUUUAUUUUCCAUAAAAUAUUUCUUAAAUGAUUUUCAUAUAAAUUUACAUCCAUGCAUUGACUUUAUUAACAUUUUUUUAGAAAAAAAUAUUUUCUAUAAAAAAAAAAAAUUUAUAUAUAAAAUACAUUUUGAAUCACUUUUAGAGGGUCCCGUCAGAUGACACGUCAUCAAUUCGUGGUCUCUGGAAGCCGACACUGCAUUUUAUUAUAGAGUGGAGCCCAUUAUUGAAAGCCCAAUUUUUUAUGAGCCGAACAAUGUUUCUAGGGUUUCGUCUUCGAUACCAAAACAUUUCUUCCGUUCGUCUGAAACGAAAACGAUCGAGUGGCCAGGUAUUCUCUUCUCUCCCGUCGCUCUAUAUUCUCUUCUAAUCUACUGAAACGCUCAGAGUUAGAUCAAUCGCCUUUACCCUCUUCUUAACUCACGAUCUGACAUUGAAUGCGAGUUUACCCCCUGAAAGUCUGUGUAUCUACACCUAUGUAAAGGUUAGCAUCCUUCCCUUGAACAUCAUCAUCUCAAUCCUUCAAAACGCCAAAGCUUAACUACUUUCUUUGAAAUGGCUAACUCAUCGAUUCUCCUUUCUGAUUUGAAGUCCAGACGCUGCUCCUACACCGUUCAAGUGAUGUUCCCCAACUGACGUGUAGUUGAUUGAGGCAGUAUUUGAAAGAGAACGUAGCUUUGGAUACCUGAGCUUCGGGAUGGGACCCAAGCGUGAGGUCAUUGGUAAGGCCUUCUCUUUCUUUUAUAACCAGUUUUUCUGUUAUUCUCUGAUUUUCAAUUCAUGAAUCGAUCUACUGCUCGGUAUCAGUGAAGGUUCGAUACUUGGCCGAGCUAUGGAGGAGAGUGGUCGCGUGAUUGAAGCCGCCAAUUAACUUACCUGAUAUGCAUGUGAUGCGUCGUCUCAAGUGAUACUAGGCAAGGUCUCAUUAACUAAAACUAUAUAUGAAAAGUUAUGCAGUCAUGUACUUAACCGUUCACAACAUGAUUUUUAUAUUUUUUAUUGGCAGCUGAGCAGACAAGAAACAACAUGGAGAGUAAUCAUGAAGUCUAUGCUAUGUUAAAAGGUAAAGAUUUGAUAUUGUAAACAUAUGCAUUUACCACUGGAAGCUAUUUUCUUAUUUUUUGAAUACUAGGCAUGGUGUAGCUGCUGUUAAAUUUUUUACUCAGUUCUCACCUUGGUCAUCUUCUUUAUUGAAUGUCUUCCUCCCACUCACAAACAGGUUUGAAUUCUUGGACAUGGUGGUGAUGCACGAAGUGUUCUUGUGGGAACAAGAAAAGAAUGAAGCGAAUGGACAAGAAAAAGAACAAUGCCGAUCAACUCGCUGUGGGUCGCAAAAAGGCUAGUUCCACUUUUUGGGUGACGUUGCUUUUUAUCAGUACAUGUCACCAAGGAUACUACUGUUUCACUUACGUCUUUUUGGUUGUGUACAAUUGGCAGGCCUGGUGUUUUGGCUGGUGAAGCUACUGCGACCAAAGUGACUGAUGUGCGCUCUUUUCCUUAAAAAAACUCAUAUGUAUACAUCUGCAGACGAAGUCAUCAAAUUCUCUUCUCGACUUUAACCAGAAAAUGGGGUCUUCCUUGGUUUCGAGACUGUAAGGAGACACUCACGAGAUUUUCCAUGGUAAGCUUUGUUCAUCUCAAUGAAAGACUUCUGAACGUUUGCAUUUGCAGGUAUAGAGAACACUUUUAAUAAUUGAUCAUGCGUACAAGAGAUCUAAUUUUCGAAGGAUUUGACUGCAGCUCUAAAGUACUCGGGAUCCCCACUGGUCUGUAUAGUAACCAUCCAACCCGGCUUUUCUUUUCACUUGAUAUAUUUGCAUGACCUCUUUUAUUAUCCCUGCAUUUGUUGUCAUUUAAUUGGAUACAACUUUAAGAUUGAACAGUAUCUCCACCUUAUUAUAAACAUGGUGGGAAAUGGAUGAACCAAUAGGUUAGGUUUUGUCCACGUAGAAGUGUGGAUUCCUAUGAUUCGAAGUUUCCAUCAAUGUCACUAUGUAACCUUUCAUUGCC